UCGAACGCGGUUAGUAGCAAUACUAACUGAGUGGCAAACGGGUGAGUAACACGUGGGUGACCUACCUUCGAGUGGGGGAUAACGUCCCGAAAGGGACGCUAAUACCGCAUAACAUCCUGUCCUUGAACGGAUGGAGAUCAAAGCCGGGGAUCGCAAGACCUGGCGCUUGGUGAGGGGCCCGCGUCUGAUUAGCUAGUUGGUGAGGUAACGGCCCACCAAGGCGACGAUCAGUAUCCGGCCUGAGAGGGCGGACGGACACACUGGGACUGAGACACGGCCCAGACUCCUACGGGAGGCAGCAGUGGGGAAUUGUUCACAAUGGGCGCAAGCCUGAUGACGCAACGCCGCGUGGAGGAUGAAGGUCUUCGGAUUGUAAACUCCUGUUGCUCGGGACGAAAAGCCUCGACCUAACACGUCGAGGUCUGACGGUACCGAGUGAGGAAGCCCCGGCUAACUCUGUGCCAGCAGCCGCGGUAAUACAGAGGGGGCAAGCGUUGUUCGGAAUUACUGGGCGUAAAGGGCGCGUAGGCGGCCCGCUAAGUCGAACGUGAAAUCCCCGAGCUCAACUCGGGAACUGCGUCCGAUACUGGCGGGCUUGAAUCCGGGAGAGGGAUGCGGAAUUCCAGGUGUAGCGGUGAAAUGCGUAGAUAUCUGGAGGAACACCGGUGGCGAAGGCGGCAUCCUGGACCGGCAUUGACGCUGAGGCGCGAAAGCUAGGGGAGCAAACGGGAUUAGAUACCCCGGUAGUCCUAGCCCUAAACGAUGAAUGCUUGGUGUGGCGGGUAUCGAUCCCUGCCGUGCCGAA
rnacentral:rRNA from 1 species